rnacentral:rRNA from 1 species
UCCUACGGGGCGCAGCAGUAGGGAAUCUUCCACAAUGGGCGAAAGCCUGGUGGAGCAACGCCGCGUGGGUGAAGUAGGUCUUCGGAUCGUAAAACCCUGUUGUUAGAGAAGAAAGUGCGUGAGAGUAACUGUUCACGUUUCUACGGUAUCUAACCAGAAAGCCACGGCUACCUACGUGCCAGCAGCCGCGGUAAUACGUAGGUGGCAAGCGUUAUCCGGAUUUAUUGGGCGUAAAGGGAACGCAGGCGGAUUUUUAAGUCUGUUGUGAAAGCCUUCGCCUUAA